rnacentral:tRNA from 1 species
GCGCGCGUAGCUCAGAGUUGAUUACUAUAGGAUAGAGCGCCUGCCUGACACGCAGGAGGCCGCGGGUUCGAAUCCUGUCGUGCGCA